ensembl:miRNA aca-mir-5419 aca-mir-5419
AAUCGGAUUGUCUCUAUAAUCAUACUACAUUCUUGAAUGCUUAGGAGUGUAGUAUGAUUUUAUAGAGACAAUCUGCUU